rnacentral:rRNA from 1 species
UACGUAGGGGGCAAGCGUUGUCCGGAUUUAUUGGGCGUAAAGAGCGUGUAGGCGGCUUGGAAGGUCAGCUGUGAAACUCGAGGCUCAACCUCGAGACGUCGGUUGAAACCACCUGGCUAGAGUCCGGAAGAGGAGAGUGGAAUUCCCGGUGUAGCGGUGAAAUGCGUAGAUAUCGAGAGGAACACCUGCGGCGAAGGCGGGUUGCUGGGCUGAUACUGACGCUGAGGCGCGAAAGCCAGGGAGCGAACGGG